rnacentral:tRNA from 1 species
GGAGGGGUGGCAGAGUGGUUGAUCGCUCCGGUCUUGAAAACCGGCGUGCCCGCAAGGGUACCGUGGGUUCGAAUCCCACCCCCUCCGCCA